GACGAACGCUGGCGGCGUGCUUAACACAUGCAAGUCGAACGGUAAGGCCCUUCGGGGUACACGAGUGGCGAACGGGUGAGUAACACGUGGGUGAUCUGCCCUGCACUUCGGGAUAAGCCUGGGAAACUGGGUCUAAUACCGGAUAGGACCACUGCCUGCAUGGGUGGUGGUGGAAAGCUUUUGCGGUGUGGGAGGGGCCCGCGGCCUAUCAGCUGGUUGGUGGGGUGAUGGCGUACCAAGGCGACGACGGGUCGCCGGCCUGAGAGGGUGACCGGCCACACUGGGACUGAGAUGCGGCCCAGACUCCUACGGGAGGCAGCAGUGGGGAAUAUUGCACAAUGGGCGCAAGCCUGAUGCAGCGACGCCGCGUGAGGGAUGACGGCCUUCGGGUUGUAAACCUCUUUCAGCACCGACGAAGCGCAAGUGACGGUAGGUGCAGAAGAAGGACCGGCCAACUACGUGCCAGCCGCCGCGGUAAUAC
rnacentral:rRNA from 1 species